CAAUUGAAGAGUUUGAUCAUGGCUCAGAUUGAACGCUGGCGGUAACUUUUAAACAUGCAAGUCGAGCGGUAACAGACAUAAAGAUUCAGCUUGCUGAAUCCGGUGCUGACGAGCGGCGAACGGGUGAGUAACGCGUAGGAAUCUACCCAGUAGCGGGGGAUAGCCCGAGGAAACUCGGAUUAAUACCGCAUACGCCCUGAGGGGGAAAGGGGGCAAUUUAUUGCUCUCACUAUUGGAUGAGCCUGCGUAAGAUUAGCUUGUUGGUAGGGUAAUGGCCUACCAAGGCGACGAUCUUUAGCUGGUCUGAGAGGACGAUCAGCCACAUUGGGACUGAGACACGGCCCAGACAUCUACGGAUGGCAGCAGUUAAGAAUAUUGGACAAUGGGGGCAACCCUGAUCCAGGUAUACCGCGUGUGUGAAGAAGGCCCUAGGGUUGUAAAGCACUUUAAUCAGAGAAGAAGCAUUUUAAGUUAAUACCUUAAUUUGUUGACGUUAACUGAAGAAUAAGGACCGGCUAACUCCGUGCCAGCAGCCGCGGUAAUACGGAGGGUCCAAGCGUUAAUCGGAAUUACUGGGCGUAAAGCGCGCGUAGGCGGUUUAGCAAGUUGUAUGUGAAAGCCCUGGGCUCAACCUAGGAACUGCAUCCAAAACUACUAAGCUAGAGUGCGAGAGAGGAGAGUAGAAUUUCUGGUGUAGCGGUGAAAUGCGUAGAUAUCAGAAGGAAUACCAAUGGCGAAGGCAGCUCUCUGGCUCGUCACUGACGCUGAGGUGCGAAAGCGUGGGUAGCAAACAGGAUUAGAUACCCUGGUAGUCCACGCCGUAAACGAUGACAACUAGCCGUUGGGCAGAUUUAACUGUUCAGUGGCACAGCUAACGCAUUAAGUUGUCCGCCUGGGGAGUACGGCCGCAAGGCUAAAACUCAAAUGAAUUGACGGGGGCCCGCACAAGUGGUGGAGCAUGUGGUUUAAUUCGAUGCAACGCGAAGAACCUUACCAAUCCUUGAAAUCUAGCGAAGUUCGCAGAGAUGUGAAUGUGCCUUCGGGAACGCUAUGACAGGUGUUGCAUGGCUGUCGUCAGCUCGUGUCGUGAGAUGUAUGGUUAAGUCCAGUAACGAGCGCAACCCCUAUCCUUAUUUGCCAGCGCGUAAUGGCGGGAACUAUAGGGAGACUGCCGGGUGAAACCCGGAGGAAGGCGGGGACGAGGUCAAGUCAUCAUGGCCCUUAUGGAUUGGGCUACACACGUGCUACAAUGGGAAGUACAGAGGGACGCUAAAGCGCGAGCUGGAGCCAAACCCUUAAAGCUUUUCUUAGUCCGGAUUGGAGUCUGCAACUCGACUCCAUGAAGUUGGAAUCACUAGUAAUCGCGAAUCAGAAUGUCGCGGUGAAUACGUUCUCGGGCCUUGUACACACCGCCCGUCACAUCAUGGAAGUGGGUUGCACCAGAAGUGGUUAGUCUAACCUUCGGGAAGACGAUCACCACGGUGUGAUUCAUGACUGGGAUGAAGUCGUAACAAGGUAGCCCUAGGGGAACCUGGGGCUGGAUCACCUCCUUA
rnacentral:rRNA from 1 species